rnacentral:rRNA from 1 species
UACGGAGGGGGCUAGCGUUGUUCGGAAUUACUGGGUGUAAAGCGCGUGUAGGCGGCAGGCCAAGUCUGCGGUGAAAGCGCCCGGCUCAACUGGGCGAGGUCCGUGGAAACUGGUCAGCUGGAGGACGGUAGAGGCGAGUGGAAUUCCCGGUGUAGUGGUGAAAUGCGUAGAGAUCGGGAGGAACACCUGUGGCGAAGGCGGCUCGCUGGGCCGGUCCUGACGCUGAGACGCGAAGGCGUGGGGAGCGAACGGG